CCAAUAGCGUAUAUUAAAGUUGUUGCAGUUAAAAAGCUCGUAGUUGAAUUUCGGGGUUAGUAGGUUGGUCAUGCCUCUGGUAUGUACUGGUCUCACUGAUUCCUCCUUCCUGAUGAACCGUAAUGCCAUUAAUUUGGUGUUGCGGGGAAUUUGGACUGUUACUUUGAAAAAAUUAGAGUGUUUAAAGCAAGCUAACGCUUGAAUACAUUAGCAUGGAAUAAUGAAAUAGGACGUUCGAUCCUAUUUUGUUGGUUUCUAGGAUUGACGUAAUGAUUAAUAAGGAUAGUUGGGGGCAUUAGUAUUCAAUUGUCAGAGGUGAAAUUCUUGGAUUUAUUGAAGACUAACUACUGCGAAAGCAUUUGCCAAGGAUGUUUUCAUUAAUCAAGAACGAAAGUUAGGGGAUCGAAGACGAUCAGAUACCGUCGUAGUCUUAACCAUAAACUAUGCCGACUAGGGAUCGGAUGAUGUUAAUUUUUUAAUGACUCAUUCGGCGCCUUACG
rnacentral:rRNA from 1 species